rnacentral:rRNA from 1 species
GAGUUUGAUUCUGGCUCAGGAUGAACGCACAAGACGUGCCUAACACAUGCAAAUCGAAUGAAAACAAUUUAAUUAAAUUGUUUUCAUGGUGAACGGGUGAGUAACACAUAAGAAUCAGCUUUUAGAUAAGGCAUAAAAGAGUAAUAUCUUGGUAAUUCCUUAUAUGCGCAGCAGUGCUUAAAAAGGGGACUCCCGUCUAAAAACGAGCUUAUGCCUGAUUAGCUAGUUGGCGAGUUAAAAGCUCACCAAGGCGAAGAUCAGUAGCUGGCCUGAGAGGGCGGCCAGCCACAUUGGGACUGAGACACGGCCCAAACUCCUACGGGAGGCAGCAGUGGGGAAUCUUCUGCAAUGGGCGCAAGCCUGACAGAGCGGCGUCAUGUGAAGGAAGAAGGCCUGAAAUAGGUUGUAAACUUCUUUUACUGAGUAAUGAAUACUGACAACGCAGUAAAAAAGUAUCGGCUAACUCCGUGCCAGCAGCCGCGGUAAUACGGGGGAUGCAAGCGUUAUCCGGAAUCACUGGGCGUAAAGCGUCUGUAGGUGGUUUAGUGUGUUCUUAGUUAAAUUAUGAAGCCUAACUUCAUGAAAAGUAAGAAAACUAUUAGACUUGAGUACGAUAGGGGUAAGAGGAAUUCUUCGAGAAGUAGUGAAAUGCGAAGAUACGAAGGAGAAGAUCAUAAGCGAAGGCUUCUUACUGGGUCGUAACUGACACUGAGAGACGAAAGCUAGGGGAGCGAAUGGGAUUAGAUACCCCAGUAGUCCUAGCUGUAAACGAUGGAUAUUCGGUGCCGGAUUUUAUUAGAACAUUUCGGUACCCUAGCUAACGCGUUAAAUAUCCCGCCUGAGGAGUACGCUCGCAAGGGUGAAACUCAAAGGAAUUGACGGGGGCUCGCACAAGCGGUGGAGCAUGUGGUUUAAUUCGAUGCAAAGCGAAGAACCUUACCAGGGCUUGACAGUAUGUAUAAAAGUCUUAACGGACU